rnacentral:sRNA from 1 species
UGGUAGAUGCACCCUGUAAUUCUCCCUCCGACCCCAAGGUUGGAGGCUUUUUCU